CCCCGUAACUUAGGGAGAAGGGGUGCCUACGAGAGUAGGCCGCAGUGAAUAGGCUCAAGCAACUGUUUAUCAAAAACACAGGUCUCUGCUAAAGCGUAAGCUGAUGUAUAGGGGCUGACGCCUGCCCGGUGCUGGAAGGUUAAGGGGAAUAGUUAGCGCAAGCGAAGCUAUGAACUUAAGCCCCAGUAAACGGCGGCCGUAACUAUAACGGUCCUAAGGUAGCGAAAUUCCUUGUCGGGUAAGUUCCGACCCGCACGAAUGGCGUAAUGAUUUGAGCACUGUCUCGGCAAUAAAUCCGGUGAAAUUGUAGUGCAAGUGAAGAUGCUUGCUACCCGCGG
rnacentral:rRNA from 1 species